CGCGCUGGAGCCAAGCGUCGGCGCAGCUUAUUUCUGGCUGGUGCUGGUGCGCGGCGGCCGCGACCUGCAAACCCAUUCGCUCGAAGACUGGAUGGAGCGCGGUUACGGCGCGCUGCGAGUGAUGGAAAAUCACCUCAAGACCAACGACUAUUUCGCCGCCGGACAUCUGACCGUCGCGGACAUCGCGAUGUAUGGCUACACCCACGUCGCCAACCAGUGCGACUUCGACCUGUCGGGCUAUCCGUCGGUGCGGGCCUGGCUGAA
rnacentral:misc_RNA from 1 species